rnacentral:rRNA from 1 species
UACGUAGGGGCAAGCGUUGUCCGGAAUCAUUGGGCGUAAAGAGCGCGUAGGCGGCCCUGUAAGUCCGCUGUGAAAGUCAAGGGCUCAACCCUUGAAUGCCGGUGGAUACUGCAGGGCUAGAGUCCGGAAGAGGCGAGUGGAAUUCCUGGUGUAGCGGUGAAAUGCGCAGAUAUCAGGAAGAACACCAAUGGCGAAGGCAGCUCUCGUGGGACGGUACUGACACUGAGACGCGGAAAGCGAUGGGGAGCGAACAGGAUUGAGAU